rnacentral:lncRNA from 1 species
GGGGGGGGCGGUAAAAGUUUUAAGUUAUGCUUGUUUUUUUUUUUGGGGUAAAAAGCUAUACUUGGUUCAAACAACUUUCUAAUGCGAGACUGUUAACUAUUUUUGGCUUGUAGUUUAAUGGUAACUUUGACUUAAUUGAUAUUGUUCUGUAAAAAAUAAAUUGGGUUUCUUUUGAGAAAGUAAUGGUCUUUUUUAUUCGGAAGGUUUUAU